rnacentral:rRNA from 1 species
CAGCCGCCGCGGUAAUACGAAGGGGGCUAGCGUUGUUCGGAUUUACUGGGCGUAAAGGGCGCGUAGGCGGACUGAUAAGUCAGGGGUGAAAUCCCAAGGCUCAACCUUGGAACUGCCUUUGAUACCGUUUGUCUUGAGUUCGAGAGAGGUAAGUGGAACUGCGAGUGUAGCGGUGAAAUGCGUAGAUAUCGGAAGGAACACCUGUGGCGAAAGCGGCUCACUGGACAAUUACUGACGCUGAUGCACGAAAGCUAGGGGAGCAAACAGGAUUAGAUACCCGGGUAGUCCCUGUCUCUUAUAA